GAUGAAGAACGUAGUGAAAUGCGAUAAGUAAUGUGAAUUGCAGAAUUCAGUGAAUCAUCGAAUCUUUGAACGCACCUUGCGCUCCUUGGUAUUCCGAGGAGCAUGCCUGUUUGAGUGUCAUUAAAUUCUCAACCUCACCAGUUUUCUGAACUGUUCUUCGAGGCUUGGAUGUGGGGGUUUGUGCAGGCUGCCUCACGGCGGUCCGCUCCCCUGAAAUGCAUUAGCGAGUUCAUACUGAACUUCCGUCUAUUGGUGUGAUAAUUAUCUACGCCGUGGACGAGGAUCAGACUCGCUUCUAACCGUCCGCGAGGACAAUACCUUGACAAUUUGACCUCAAAUCAGGUAGGACUACCCGCUGAACUUAAGCAUAUCAAUAAGCGGAGGA
rnacentral:misc_RNA from 1 species